GUGCUGGCUUCAGCAGCACAUAUACUAAAAUUGGAACAAUACAGAGAUUAGCAUGGCCCCUGCGCAAGGAUGACAUGCAAAUUCGUGAAGCAUUCCAUAUUUUU
rnacentral:snRNA from 1 species